rnacentral:tRNA from 1 species
GCAGAGAUAGCCAAGCUGGUCAACGGCGUCGGACUCAAGAUCCGAUCUCAUAGGAGUACGUGCGUUCGAAUCGCACUCUCUGCA